ensembl:lncRNA
CAUCUGGUUGUAAUGGAUGGUUAUAAAAUCCCGGAGAAAGUUAAGAGUCACCAAUCAUUUAUUGAGCAAAUAUUAACUGAGCACUUCCUCUGUGCUACACUUUGUGCUCAAUUUAGAGAAACAACAAUGAAAGAAGGGGACAGGGCCCCCACCUUUGUGGAUCCUGCAUGUGAAUGUUUGUCGAAUACCUAGGAAUACAAGAGAUCAUCCAAGAAGGGGUUGUCGUUUAAAAUGGGUAAAGAUUUAGAUGAUGAGUGGUACCCACUAUAUAAAUACUAACUCCUAAAUAAGUAAGCAAAAAUCAUGGCAAAGCAGAAAAUUAAAAUAUGAUCAGGUGCUACCAAGUGAUCCAAUGGGCAUUAAAGAAUUCUGAGAACUGAAAGAAACUGAAAAAAAGGCAUCCAUAUGACCAUCAGGGAGAAAACAAUGAGAGGCAGAGUGAAUAGCUAAUGUGAAGACCCUGAGAUGAGAGAGCACGCACACCAGGAUGGGGGAUCUCAGGUUGGGCUUGAAAGCCCAGUUAAUAUAUGUGAAUUUUAGCCUAAAUGGGAGGGGAAAUGACUUGAUGAAAUUGAUGAUGUUUUAAUAUAUUACUCUGGCUGUUGCAUGGAGAACCGAUUUUGAAAGAGGAAGAGUGAAAGCCAGAUGAUGCUUCAGGAAAUCACUUCAGACAUCCAGGCAAGACUUGAUGAUGGCUUUGGUCAAAAUGUGAUUGGAUUUAGCUUAUUUCCUGAGAGUUAGCAAGAAUGGACUUGCUGAUGAAAUAAAUGUAGGNNNNNNNNNNNNNNNNNNNNNNNNNNNNAUGAAGAGGAGAACAAAGAUGAAUCCUAGUUUGGGGGAGCAGGAGUGGAGGAUAUGCCAAUGACUGAGAUACAAAUAUACAUAUAUUUAUACAGGAUCUUUGAGUUCUUCACAAACUCUAAUAUGUGAUAAUAUUAUGUCAUUUUUUUCCAGGUACAAUGUAAGUUAGCUGAGAAGACCAUAGCGCCUACUGCAAAUGGUUUCCUCUUCCUACCCCAGUUUUUUCCCCAUGGUUUCUGAUACCGCGAUCUGAAAACAAGGAGCCUUUUUGAAUAAGUGAGUAAAUGAGAGAACAUGUCCUCAAGGGGAAAAUGAGGCAGCUACUCUCAUGUGUUGUUUUUCUACUGAUAAUUUUACUGUGUUCUCCCAGAGCAUUGAUCUCUACCAUGGAGUACUUGGUCUUUGCUUACUAAAGUAUCACCAAACACAACUGGUAGUUCUUCCCUAUACUUUUAAGAAAAGAAACACGCAAAAUAAUAGAAAAUAUCUUAAAAUGGGCUUUUCAGAGAGUGAAUUUGUCUCCAUAGAGGCUAGUCAGCCUCUGGAGCUAUCUGACCCCAGGAGGGAUAGUUGCGGAAAAAUUCAGUUAAUAAGUACUUAUAUAUGCCAGGUAUUACCUUUAUGUGAUUUAUAAUUUAGAGCAACCUCAAAGAGAGAGAUAUUAUUAUUAUUAUUCCCAUUUUAUAGAUAUAGAACUGAGUCUCUCAACACAGAAAUGACUUGCAUAAGGCCAUUUAACAACAAGAUGGAAUCAAACCAGGCCAGUCGAUAGUCAUAGUUUUUGCUUUUUCACACCUGAGGUUUCCAGGGACAGUCACCUUGUCUGUGACAGGUCAGGAGAGACUUACGAGAGACCUGUCCGCUUUACUGGCACUCUGGAGUCACAGACAAGCAGCACAAGUUCUCCAUGAAGGCCGGCCGAGCAUAGACAUGUCUAUUUCAGGGCCAUCAAGGAUCUGGAACACCUUUCCUAAUUUGGAGCAACACACAUUUAAGAGGUAAGAAAGCUGAAUCCAGUGGAUGUGGUCUCAAAGACAUUUUUCCUUGCUCAAAUUAAACCCACAGCCAUGAGACCACCAGCCCAAAGACUUAAAGUCUGUGGCCCACUAGCAUAGCUCUGAAAGAUGAGGUUGUUUGCCAGCCUCUCCCAUCCCACAUGCCUAUUUUAGUUCCCAAGCCUCUUGGCCCACAAGAAGAGGUGUUGAGGUAGGAGGAAGUUAGGCUAAGUAUCUUAAUUAAUGGUUCUCUGUGAAAUACGCUUCUUCCAUUGUGCCAACUGGAAAAGAGGUUUUCAAGUGAAGCAUCCCAACAACCCCAUUCUUUAUUUCUGUCCUCUCUUGCAACUGCUCUACUAGCUGCCUUAAUCUUUAAAUUCUAUUUGACAUCUCAAAGUCAACUUCUUCUACACACAUAUAUUCCAUUCACCUACUUCUAAGACAUCACGUAAACAAGGAAAUCAUACAAACAGGUAGGCUGACUUUUGGCAACAGGAAAAUCUGGCAUUGAAGGAACUUUCUUGACCUUUUUUGUGCCAUGAAACCUCUUCAGUCUGGUGAUUCCUAUUGACUCCUUCUCCAAAUAACAUAUAUAUUUUUUGGUCUUGUUCUUUGGUCAUGCUGGUGGCAUGCACAGGUUCCUGGGCCAGGGAUUGGAUUGAACCCAAACCCACAGUACUGACAAUGCUGGAUCCUUAACCCACUGACCCACCAGGAAACUCUUCCAAAUAAUGUUUUUAAAUGUACAAGAUAAAGUACAUAGGAUUAAAAAGAAAGCCAAUUAUAUUGAAAUAAACUUGCAAAAUGUUAAGAAAACUGGUUUGUGAUAUAGUUAUUUACACAAUGCUUUACUGAUGCAUUAAAUAAAAAGUCCAGCAGUUGGUCAAAUAAUUACUGUAAUUUUUAAGUAGUGAUGAUAAUUAGAGCUAUCUGCAAAAACCAUAAGGUGAUAUAAGAAAUAGCUGUGAUUCCUAUUAGCAACAAAAUCAAAGGUUCUGAUAAAAUGAAGUUUGUCUACAUUAAAAAAUGAAAGAAAUAAAUUCUGUCGGUGACUAGUGAAACUAAAACUGUAAUGUUUCCUCCUUCAGAUUAUAGACACCUUAACUUUAGGUUAAGAAUUCAUGUUUCAAGAGUUCCCAUUGUGGCUCAGCAGUAAGGAACCUGACUAGUAGCCAUGAGGAUGCAGAUUUGAUCCCUGGUCCUGCUCAGUGGGUUAAGGAUCUGGUGUUGCCGUGAGCUGUGCUGUGGGUCUCAGGUAUGGCUUGGAUCUGGUGUGGCUGUGGCUGUGACUGGCAGUUGCAGCUCUGAUUUGACCUCUAGCCCAGAAAGUUCCAUAUGCUGCAGGUGCAGCCAGGAAAAAAAAAAAAAA